rnacentral:rRNA from 1 species
AACGAACGCUGGCGGCAUGCCUAACACAUGCAAGUCGAACGAGACCUUCGGGUCUAGUGGCGCACGGGUGCGUAACGCGUGGGAACCUGCCCUUAGGUUCGGAAUAACUCCCCGAAAGGGGUGCUAAUACCGGAUAAUGUCUUCGGACCAAAGAUUUAUCGCCUUUGGAUGGGCCCGCGUUGGAUUAGCUAGUUGGUAGGGUAAAAGCCUACCAAGGCGACGAUCCAUAGCUGGUCUGAGAGGAUGAUCAGCCACACUGGGACUGAGACACGGCCCAGACUCCUACGGGAGGCAGCAGUGGGGAAUAUUGGACAAGGGGCGAAAGCCUGAUACAGCAAGGCCGCGUGAGUGAUGAAGGCCUGAGGGUUGUAAAGCUCUUUUACCCGGGAUGAUAAUGACAGUACCGGGAGAAUAAGCGCCGGCUAACUCCGUG